UGACCCGAAUCUUUAUGCAAAAUGAAGAUGACGACGCCGCUUUUUUCGACUUUUUCUGUGACCAAUUUUUAGCAGAAUCACCAUUUUGAUCGUCUUCGAUUUGGCAUGGAAGACUUUCAUGAAUGCUAUUGUAACUUGGCCUGCUGAGGGCUAGGAUAGUCCCUAAACAAAAUCUGGAAGCCGUUCCGCCAGAGAUUUGUCUGUCAUGUUGCAGCAGAGCCACUUUUCUCAAUUUUGCGUCGUCCAGAAUUUAUGAUUUUUGGAUGCUGAAAUACUUGAUGGCGUGAGAACCAAAAAAGAACUACCGGACACCGUCCAGACCUCAGGAGUCAGGAUUAUGCCGUCUGCUGAACAUUGUCGCAUGCGUUCCUAUAGAGCAUGCUGGCUGCUCUCCUGUUUUCCUUCCUGAUUAUGGACCUCAAGUGUGGACCCAACUGGUCAAAGAAAUGAAGGAACAAUCGUCAUGGUGUACUCUCAGGCCAAGGAUAUGCCUUGUGAAACGUGUCAUAUGCAGUUACUAGAGUUGUCUCGUUCUUUGCAAGCUCUUCGGUCACAGGCAGUACUGUCACAUCCAAUGCACAGCUGAACUGGUUAAGAGUACGUGCACACCAUUAUGUGCUUUGCGGUGGAAUGUGGUCCACCGUUUCGAACACAGUAUUCGCUGACCAUAUACGGCUCCUUUGUAGUGGAUCGUGUGAGUUUGGUCUGGUGGGAUUCGUAGCCAUGUUUAAUGGAACAUACUUCGAAGUAGAUACUCUCCUCUUUAGUGUAUGUGGCAUAUACAAGCCACUGGAGACAUAUUUCACACAGUGUCUCUGUUUUGGUUGAGGUUUUCCCAAUCAUAUUCGUUGCAUAUAUGGGUAUCCAAGUACCUAUAGAGUAUCAUGGUCACAGUCACUACAUACAGAUCCAUGUGGCUCUUGAAUAUGGACAACAGUCUUCUGUUUGAUGGCCAAGCCUGGUCCAAUUUCUCUGUUCUUCCUUUCGGUUAGCUUUCGCCUCUGACCAUCGCUAACCAUCUCAUUGUUGCGUCGUCCAUGACGUGGCUGGCUGGCAUCGGAGUUGGGCACUGCCCUGUCAUCCACUGGCAUAGUGUUGAACCUAACUGACUUGUAUGUCACAUACUAGAUGGAAUUUUGUUCAGUUUUCAGUCUUUUACCAUUCUUAGACACUUUCUUCACCAUACACUGUGUUUCUUUGGCCGUAAAAGGGGCAGUCUCUACUAGUAUUGUAUUCCGAGUUUCCUGAUUUUCAUGGAGAUAGAAAAGAAGUAAUUCUUGUGAAAUGAG